GAGGUUGAGCGCUCUACAGGGGUUGUCAUGGCAGCGCUGAGUAUCUGUGGCUUCAGGAUUCUUCGGUAUGUUAGCGAGCUGAUGAGAAACAGCUGUGGAGCAGAACAGAAGCUAAACACACUCACACACUAAUACGAUUGAUAUGCCACUUAACAGAAUCAGAGACCCUUCAGUUUAUGCAUGUAAAAGCAGGAGAUUGUUCCAACUUUAAGAGGCGAGGAGAAAAUUCUAGAUCUGGACAUGAGGGGAGACAGGUCUGCUACAUGAUGGGAUACAGCUGAUCCCCACGGGAGGAUGAUUGAUGAUUGGUGGUAGUAUUCCACACAACACAGGACUGAGGGACUUCACGCACAUCUAACAACAGUUCCAACACAUAAGACAGGAGAGGAGCAGAGUCACAUGUAGGUUCCCAACAAGGUCCUUGAGGAGAGCAUACUGUGGGCUGUUUGUUGGUGUCUGCUGGCUUUCUCCUCCAGACAGGAAGUGCUGAUCAGCCCCUGAGACGAGCGUCCCACUGUCUCGGUUCCACACGCAUUCCACAUUAGCCAUCCCCCCCACACACACACUACACCCUCCUAAGGUUAUAUAUGAGGAACAAUACGGCCUGGUUCUUGGUAACUCUGUCAGAUAGUCCCAGGGAACAAAGUCCUCUUUUUGAGCACAUCAUCAGGUUAGGAGCGGCACAUGAUGAUUUGCAUGAAGAGCGUGACUUUCA